rnacentral:lncRNA from 1 species
ACGUCGUGUCAAAUAAGUAGUAUUAUUCGGAGUGUAUCGUUGAUUUGGUGAGUGUAUUUUUGCGAAAGUAAGUAUGUGACGGGUAAUUGAUGUGUAAAACACAGCCGAUUAAUGUAUCCAAGGAAUAUUAUUUAUCACACCGCAAAAAAGUCCUGCAAAUCUUGAAGUAAUAAACAAGCCCUGGCCAAGAAGUACGACCGCAUCCACGCCGGAAUUGAAAGUCGAUCAAGGUGUGAUUAUCCAGCCGUUACCCUCGGAUUCGAGGCGAGAAAAUAACCGGAGACUGUAUCCAAUUCGCACCACGUGCUAUUACAACUUUCGACUGUUCUACGUUAUUCUAAGUUGCUUCACCCUGGUAAUGGGAUUUGUCUACUUUGGAGCUGCGGUUGCACUCUGCGUUCACCGGGAAUUGGUUCUAGUCGUCAUGGAUUAUCCGCUGCACAUUUCUUCCGUUGUCUGUCUAUUUGGAUUGGCAUUUCUUCUCUUGACCCUUGCC